rnacentral:rRNA from 1 species
GACGAACGCUGGCGGCGUGCUUAACACAUGCAAGUCGAACGGAAAGGCCCUGCUUUUGUGGGGUGCUCGAGUGGCGAACGGGUGAGUAACACGUGAGUAACCUGCCCUUGACUUUGGGAUAACUUCAGGAAACUGGGGCUAAUAUCGGAUAGGAGCUCCUGCUGCAUGGUGGGGGUUGGAAAGUUUCGGCGGUUGGGGAUGGACUCGCGGCUUAUCAGCUUGUUGGUGGGGUAGUGGCUUACCAAGGCUUUGACGGGUAGCCGGCCUGAGAGGGUGACCGGCCACAUUGGGACUGAGGUACGGCCCAGACUCCUACGGGAGGCAGCAGUGGGGAAUAUUGCACAAUGGGCGGAAGCCUGAUACAGCAACGCCGCGUGCGGGAUGACGGCCUUCGGGUUGUAAACCGCUUUCGCCUGUUACGAAGCGUGAGUGACGGUAAUGGGUAAAGAAGCACCGGCUAACUACGUG